GCCCGAGGCAGCAGUGGCAACCCACCCAGGUCCGUUUCCACACUGUGGAAGCUUUGUUCUUUCACUCUUUGCAAUAAAUCUGGCUGCUGCUCACUCUUUGGGUCCACACUUCUUGUAUGAGCUGUAACACUCACUGCGAAGGUCUGCAGCUUCACUCCUGAGGCCAGCGAGACCUCGAACCCACCGGGAGGAAUGAACAACUCUGGACAGGAGGAAUGAACAACUCUAGAUGUGCUGCCUUAAGAGCCGUAACACUCACCAACAGGGUCUGCAGCUUCAUUCUUGAAGUCAGUGAGACCAAGAAUCCACCAAUUCCAGACACAUUUUGGCGACCAGAUGGGACUAUCGCCAAGCGGUGAGACCAUUGCCUAUGGCUGAGCAGUGAGACUGUCACCUAUCGCCAAGCAAAUUGAGGCCAUCAAGCUACAGAUGGUCUUACCAAUGGAACUCAAAUGAGUUCAACUAAUGACUUCUACCGAGGACCCCUGGACUGUUCCGCUGGCCCUUCCACUGGCCUAAAGAGUUCCCCUCUGGAGGACACUACAACUGCAGGGCCCCUUCUUUGCCCCUAUCCAGCAGGAAGUAGCUAGAGCGGUCAUUGGCCAAAUUCCCAACAGCAGUUGGGUUGUCCUGUUUACAGGGGGGGAUUGAGAGGUGACAACGUGUUAGCAGCCCUCACUCACUCUCAGCACCUCCUCGGCCUUGGCAGCCAUGCUCGAGGAGCCCUUCAGCCCACCACUGCACUGUGGGAGCCCCUCUCUGGGCUGGCCGAGGCUGGAGCCGGCCCCCUCUGCUUGCGGGAAGGUGUGGAGGGAGAGGCGCGGGCGGGAACUGGGGCUGCGCGUGGUGCUUGCGGGCCAGUGAAAGUUCCAGGUGGGUGUGGGCUUGGCAGGCCCCGUACUCAGAGCGGUCAGCCAGCCCUGGGCAGUGAGGGGCUUAGCACCCAGGCCAGCAGCUGCGGAGGGGGCACCGGGUUCCCCCAGCACUGCCGGCCCACCUGUGCCACACUCGAAUUCUUGCUGGGCCUCAGCCGCCUCCCCGUGGGGCAGGGCUUGGGACCUGCAGCCCGCCAUGCCCGAGCCCCACUGUGGUGGGCUCCUGUGCGGCCCGAGCCUCCCUGAUGGGCACUGCCCCCUGCUCCAUGGCGCCUGGUACCAUCGACAACCCAAGGGCUGAGGAAUGCAGGUGCAUGGCACGGGACUGGCAGGCAGCUCCACCCGUGGCCCCAGCGCGGGAUCCACUAGGUGAAGCCAGCUGGGCUCCUGAGUUGGGUGGGGUCUUGGAGAACAUUUAUGUCUAGCUGGAGAAUUGUAAAUGCACCAGUCAGCACUCUGUGUCUAGCUCAAGGUUUGUAAAUGCACCAAUCAGUGCUCUAUGUCUAGCUAAUCUACUGGGGACUUGGAGAACUUUUAUGUCUAGCUAGAGGAUUGUAAAUGCACCAAUCAGCACUCUGUGUCUAGCUCAGGGAUUGUAAAUGCACCAAUCAGCACCCUGUCAAAAUGGACCAAUCAGCUCUCUGUAAAACUGACCUAUCAGCUCUCUGUAAAACAGACCAAUCAGCUCUCUGUAAAAUGGACCAAUCAGCAGGAUGUGGGUGGGGCCAGAUAAGGGAAUAAAAGCAGGCUGCCUAAGCCAGCAGUGGCAACCUGCCAGGGUCCCCUUCCACACUGUGGAAGCUUUGUUCUUUCACUCUUUGCAAUAAAUCUUGCUGCUGCUCAGUUUUUGGGUUUGUGCUGCCUUUGUGAGCUGUAACACUCACCACGAAGGUCUACAGCUUCACUCCUGAAGCCAGCGAGACCAUGAACCCACUGGGAGGAAUGAACAACUCUGGACGGGAGGAACGAACAACUCUAGACGUGCUGCCUUAAGAGCUGUAACACUCACCGUGAGAGCCCGCAGCUUCAUUCUCGAAGUCAGUGAAACCAAGAACCCACCAAUUCUGGACACACUAGGAUUAUAGGCGUGAACCUCUGCACCCAGC
rnacentral:lncRNA from 10 species